CCUACGGGAGGCUGCCGUGAGGAAUAUUGGUCAAUGGGCGCGAGCCUGAACCAGCCAAGUAGCGUGAAGGAUGACUGCCCUACGGGUUGUAAACUUCUUUUAUAAAGGAAUAAAGUGAGGCACGUGUGCCUUUUUGUAUGUACCUUAUGAAUAAGGAUCGGCUAACUCCGUGCCAGCAGCCGCGGUAAUACGGAGGAUCCGAGCGUUAUCCGGAUUUAUUGGGGUUAAAGGGUGCGUAGAUGGGUUGUUAAGUCAGUUGUGAAAGUUUGCGGCUCAACCGUAAAAUUGCAAUUGAUACUGGCAGCCUAGAGUACAGUUGAGGUAGGCGGAAUUCGUGGUGUAGCGGUGAAAUGCUUAGAUAUCACGAAGAACUCCGAUUGCGAAGGCAGCAUACCGGCGCGCAACUGACGCUGAGGCACGAAAGCGUGGGUAUCGAACAGGAUUAGAUACCCUGGUAGUC
rnacentral:rRNA from 1 species